CAUUCUGAAUCAUGAGAAAGCCCAGAGA
rnacentral:piRNA from 1 species